UACAGAGGUCUCAAGCGUUGUUCGGAUUCAUUGGGCGUAAAGGGUGCGUAGGUGGUGGGGUAAGUCGGAUGUGAAAUCCCUGGGCUCAACCCAGGAACUGCGUCCGAUACUGGAAGGCUUGAAUCCGGGAGAGGGAUGCGGAAUUCCAGGUGUAGCGGUGAAAUGCGUAGAUAUCUGGAGGAACACCGGUGGCGAAGGCGGCAUCCUGGACCGGUAUUGACGCUGAGGCGCGAAAGCCAGGGGAGCAAACGGG
rnacentral:rRNA from 1 species